rnacentral:rRNA from 1 species
UACGGAGGAUCCGAGCGUUAUCCGGAUUUAUUGGGUGUAAAGCGUGCGCAGGCGGACUGGUAAGUCAGCUGUGAAAGUUUACGGCUCAACCGGGAAAUUGCAGUGGAUACUGUUGGUCUUGAGUAUAGAUGAGGUGGGCGGAAUUUGUGGUGUAGCGGUGAAAUGCGUAGAUAUCUGGAAGAACUCCAAUGGCGAAGGCAGCUCACUGGGCUAUAACUGACGCUGAUGCACGAAAGUGUGGGGAUCAAACAGG